rnacentral:rRNA from 1 species
AAAUUGAAGAGUUUGAUCAUGGCUCAGAUUGAACGCUGGCGGCAGGCCUAACACAUGCAAGUCGAACGGUAACAGAAAGAAGCUUGCUUCUUUGCUGACGAGUGGCGGACGGGUGAGUAAUGUCUGGGAAACUGCCUGAUGGAGGGGGAUAACUACUGGAAACGGUAGCUAAUACCGCAUAACGUCGCAAGACCAAAGAGGGGGACCUUCGGGCCUCUUGCCAUCGGAUGUGCCCAGAUGGGAUUAGCUAGUAGGUGGGGUAACGGC